rnacentral:rRNA from 1 species
CCAGCGUACUCUCUGGAGUGACGGGUACACUGUGGGGACCGCCGCUGCUAAAGCGGAGGAAGGAAUGGGCAACGGUAGGUCAGUAUGCCCCGAAUAUCCCGGGCUACACGCGAGCUACAAUGGUUGGUACAAUGGGUAUCUACCCCGAAAGGGGACGGGAAAUCUCCUAAAACCAAUCUUAGUUCGGAUUGAGGGCUGCAACUCGCCCUCAUGAAGCUGGAAUCCGUAGUAAUCGCGUUUCAACAGAACGCGGUGAAUACGUCCCUGCUCCUU